rnacentral:tRNA from 1 species
GGGAUAGUGGGUGAGCGGGAAAACCAUCCAAACCUAUUUGGGGUCGCCGGAGUGUUCUUGGCGCGAGGGUUCGAAUCCUUCCUGUCCCA